AGCUCCAAUAGCGUAUAUUAAAGUUGUUGCAGUUAAAAAGCUCGUAGUUGGAUUUCUGGCUCGGUGAGGCGGUCCCUCUCGCGAGGCGCACUGCAGCGCCGGGCCAUCCUCUCGAAGGCGGGUGGUGUCAUUAAUUUGAUGUCGCACGAACUCGAGACCUUUACUUUGAAAAAUUAGAGUGUUCAAAGCAGGCAUACGCUUGAAUACAUUAGCAUGGAAUAAUGGAAUAGGACUUUGGUUCUAUUUUGUUGGUUUCUAGGACCGAAGUAAUGAUUAAUAGGGACAGUUGGGGGCAUUAGUAUUUAAUUGUCAGAGGUGAAAUUCUUGGAUUUAUGAAAGACUAACUACUGCGAAAGCAUUUGCCAAGGAUGUUUUCA
rnacentral:rRNA from 1 species